AGAAGGAGGUGGAUGAAUUUGCAAGACCGCGGAUCAGUGAGAUUGUGCGCGGUGCUAUGGACAAAGCUGUCCGUCGCGAGAAAAUGGAUACGAUCAAAGUGGAACUUGUUGAAAAAAUCACCGCCGAGAAAGGAGAAGAUUUUAUCGAAGAUCAUUCCGCAUUGAUUGAUCAUUAUUACGAAAAAUUAAAAAAGGAAAUCAUCCGUCAUCUUAU
rnacentral:misc_RNA from 1 species